ACCACAUCAACAACUGACACCGACGAAGCAUCGUUACCCAUCGCGCCACAAAAACCGCGGCCCUUGCAGAGCGAGUGACGUCACCGAUUGAAACGCUAUUAGCGCGCACCACCGCUAACUAGUUAGCCAUUUCACAUCGGUUACAUACAUCUGCACAAUGAGCACGUGUCUCUCAAAUACAUCGUUACAGUUGCUGGUUAGCUAGCUAUUGGAUUUUUACACGUUGACAUGAAAUAUGUCAAAACACCUCAAAACAAGCCAUGGUAUCAUGAACAAGAUGAAACGAGUCCAUACAUGGCAGUUUCAUUGUUGGUAGCUAACGUUAUCUGGCCAUCCAUAAUCACAACUACUCACGGACUUCUGCCCCAUUGGAGUGUGCACAUCGUUUUUUGUCACGUCAGGUCUUCAGUAGAAGAUAUCCAGAAACAAUGAGGAUGAGGAAGACAAAGAGGAAGAUGAGACCAGCCCAGGCCUCGGGGUGCAGAGCCUUCCUCAGUCCCAUGCUCUCCCCUGGCAACAGACUGCUCAGACUCAGCAUGUAACCCAGGGCCCAGCCAAUAGAGGUGUCUCCUGCCUGGACAAAAUAAGAAAAACAAACCAUAACUGAACUCCAAAUUCUAUACAGUAGUCAAGGGGUACAUUAAACAUUUAUAUGGAAA